rnacentral:rRNA from 1 species
UAAACCUGAUGGGUUGUUGCUGGUUCUCUAGGGAGCAUGUGCACACCUUGUCAUCUUUAUAUCUCCACCUGUGCACCUUUUGUAGGCCUUUCAGGUUUAUGUUGCUUCAUUUACCCCAAUGUAUGUUAAUAGAAUGUUGUGCCUAAAUAAUAUAUACAACUUUCAGCAACGGAUCUUUUGGCUCUCGCAUCGAUGAAGAACGCAGCGAAAUGCGAUAAGUAAUGUGAAUUGCAGAAUUCAGUGAAUCAUUGAAUUUUUGAACGCCCCUUGCGCUCCUUGGUAUUUCGAGGAGCCUGCCUGUUUGAGUGUCAUUAAUAUAUCAUACCUUCUCUUUUUGAGUGGUUUGGAUGUGGGGGUUUGCUGGCCUCUUAAAAGGUCUUGGCUCUCCUGAAAUACAUUAGCAGAACAACCCUGUUCAUUGGUGUGAUAACUAUCUACGCUAUUGAAUGUGAAGGGCAG